rnacentral:tRNA from 1 species
UCCCUGGUGGCUCAGACGGUAAAGCAUCUGCCUACAAUGCAGGAGACCUGGGUUCAAUCCUUUGGUCGGGAA